UGAAUUUUGGUUAACUAUACAAAGAAUUUUUCUUAAAAAUGAAUAAUGGUUAACAAACCAACUGAUGCCAAAUAGGUUCUUUACAUACUGCACUUUUCUAAUGAUCUGUUUAAAACUUCAGUGGAUUAGAAGAAUAGACAUGGUUACUAUAUUAUACCAUGAAAUGGUUAAAUAUUAUUGCCAGUGUGACAGAACCAUGGAGAUACCAUGCAGAUACACACUACUGGUCAUCCAUAUGACUGCACUUUUAGCCCACCACUGUGGUAUCGGAGGGAAAGUAAGAAACAAAGAUAAUCUAACAGGUCUUGGCUUGUCUUUGGACAGAAAAAUGCCACAUGCAUUCUUAAGCUCUUUUAUCACAUGCAAGCUUUCAGGCAAAAGUUACUAGCAUUCCAACAGGCAAAAGUUGACCAGACCUUUCUAAAUUAAAGGAAGAAUUUGUACAUCAUGAAAUUGAUUUUUGAGCUUAUUUUGAUUUGGGGACUAAUGAAGACUUCAAGAUUCCAGUGUGUGCUAGAAAAGGAGUAUUUCUGCUCUUCCAUUCCAAACGAUUUUCCAGAAGGCCUGACGUCUGUUUUAUUUGUUGUAACGAAGAUUGGGGUUAUCAACUCAAGUGUCUUCAACAGCCCAAACUUGAAAUCUGUCACCAGUCUAGCUCUAGCAAACAGCGGCAUCACAAGAAUUGAACCUAGAGCCUUUUACGCUUUCCAUAGUCUCACCAAACUCAGUUUAUAUAAAAAUAAUCUGACUACAGUUAUGGGUUCUUGGCUUUCCAAACCAGGACACUUAGAAAACCUUACAGUGUCUCAGAACAUCAUUCAGGAAAUAGGCCCCCAUAUGUUGUCUAGUUUCUCUAACCUGACAACCCUUAAUUUAGCUAACAACAGAAUUCAUAUGAUUGUGGGUGGAAGUUUGAAGAAUCUGUCUAAGCUAACUUUUAUUGAUCUAUCUGGUAAUAAUUUAUCUACCUUAACAAGAAAUUUGUUCAGUGGGCUGAUGUCUCCAGUAAUGAAACUGGGGGACAAUCCAUGGAACUGUUCCUGUGAACUUCAAGAUUUUGGAUUUUUUUUGCAAGAGCUGAUGAAUGCUUCUGUGUUGGAAGAUGCUUCAUCUGUGGUGUGUCAGAGCCCACAAGCCCUGAAGGGAAUUCCAGUUUGGAACAUCUCUGACUUUAACUGCCCACCGAGUCUCAUAUCACCAUCACUUGAGAAUGACUUCUAUAAAGUUGGAUUGCCAGUGAUGCUUCUAUGUUUAGUGUUUUUUUCAUUUCUUUUGCUGCUUCUCCUGCUCUGGAAGGUGAAACAAGAUAAAAAGCAAGUGCAGCCAGAUAAAGAAGCUACUGUUGAAAAUAGCCAUGAAACACUAACAGGCCACCUUAACAGGAUGACAGAGAGACUGAGGAGCAGAGGACUGUCAGAUGAAAAUGUACAGACAACCGUGAAAAUUGACAAAACCCAACAAAAUAGAAUGCAGAAAACUCGUGCAAAAUCUGCCUCACCAAUUAUGUUGAGAACUGAGUUUCAACACAGUAGUUCUCAACACCAUAGACCAACUGAUGAGAACCAGGAGGAACCCAAAACCUCUUAUACAGUAAUAAAUGAACAAGCCUACAUGAAAAAUGAAGACUGCAACAAUGUUAUGGAACUGUGGUAUUUUAAUAGCUUGCAAGAUUGCAAUAAGAAGGCUAUGUGUAGUCACAAUGCAAACACUUCGCCAACUGAACUUAGCAUAGAAACCCCCCAAAAGGAUCGUUCGGAACUGUUAAAGCAGUCAUUGCAGGACCAUGGAAUUUCAGAAGUGUGUUGGAAUGAUGAAAUUAAAGGAAGUAGUAAUACAGAGAACGCUGAACCUCUGUUGUAUUUAAGUGUUGCUAGUACAACUGAAGAGUCACCCAGUGUACCUGGCACUGAACAAAAAGGUGCUGUGAGUAGAAAUGUAAAUAUGAGGCUGUGUUCUUUGAGAAGAGUUCUUACUUGGCCGUAUGAAAAAUGCAAAAGGUACGAAAGUCAAAACACUUUAAAUUAUGAGGAUUUUUUCAAGGCACAUUUCUGUAUGCCCACUAGUGAUCCUGGUGUCCCAGCAGCAGUCAGGAAAACAGAAUUCAAAGAUGAACAAAAUCAGUAUAAUCUCCAUCUACAUACUGUAAAGGAACAAAAGGCAAUUCAUGAUUACAGCAGUGGUAAACCUGAGUUAAAGAGAGAAGCAAAACCAGAAAACAAAUUAGUAUCUCCACUUAAGAAAGGAGCCAAGCAAAUAACCACAAUGGAAAAUGCAUGCAUCUCAGUGCCUGGAAGAGGAUUCAGAGGCUCUGAGACUGUAAAAAAAAAUAAGAAUAACAAAGAUGUAUCUUCGCAGGCUGGAUUCUGCAAUGACAAUCUUGACUCACCAGCAUCCUCAGACAAAUCUGGUCACACCUCCUCCCCAUGUGAUAAUACAUUACUCAAAAAUAAUGAAUACACCUUCAUUGAUCUUUUGCAUGAAGUCGUGGAAAAUCGUGGGAGGUGGACCAGGCAGAGGUGGAAACAGACCCAUCAAGUGCAAAUUGCUAGCCACUCCCCAAUGAAAUCAACGUAAACUCAUUGCACUCCAUCAAAAAAUGUUCCAUGUGCUAUAGGCUGCCUGUUUAACCAAAAUUGUUGUAUAACAUUUCAGUCGUGGUGAAACAUGCCAGACUUGACAGUACUGGAAGCUGAAAUCCUCUAUUAUACAUACUUCAGGAGCAAUGCAGACUGCUCCAUACUGCCCUUCCAGAAUGCCUUAUCCAUGUUUUGGAAAAGCACCUCUAAGGAUGAGAGGGGACUUUUCUCCAUGGCCCAGUCAAUUAGUGGUGCCAAAAAAGGGUGACACAUGUCAUCAAGGUUUUUGUGAUGUGAUCAUUUAUUUACAAGGAGCUUGACUGAGACCCACCAAACUCAUUUCAUCUAGGCAAUCAAACCGCUUUCAGAUGAGUAAUGAGUUUUGAUCAUUAAUCAUCUAAGGUAAAUUUUCCAGAAAUGUCCAAGAGAUUUACGUACUGAAAUAGAUAUGACUUAGGUACCUAAGUCACUUAGCACUUUUGAAAUUUUUAUCUCUAGGCUGGUUUUGCACCAGCGAUGUAGAAAACUCCAAAUCCCAUUACUCCCCUCCCUGAAAUAACCCAUAUCGUUACGGUUUUGAUUCAAGCAUUGCACUAAGUAGGCAAAUUUAUAAAUUAGCCCUAGAAUUUUCCAGCUGCCUAGAAACCGAUAGUUCAUGGCGUAUGGAGCCUUUCUGCUCUGGUUAUUGACUAGCUCUACUCAUUGGCAGAGACCAUUAGUAGCCAGGAUUGUCAAUCUGGCAUAUUCAUGGGCACUAAAAAUUAAUGUAAAAUUUUCAGUUUACUUGCACAAAAAAUGAAAUAUUAACAUGUAUCAUGUCAUGCUAAUAGGUUAUAUCCCCUUAAAUGGAUUGCUAAUUGCGUGUUCUCUCUCUCUCUCGCUCUCUCUUUACAUAUAUAUAUAUAUAAAAUAAAAAAAAAUCCUUACUACUAAUAAUGCAAAGAUAUCUCAUGAGCUACAGUGGUAUUUUAUAUGCACCACACAGCCUUUUUGGUAGGCUUUGCUAGGUUUUACACACUGUAUUUUCAAUUAAUAAUUUAUAAUAUGACUAAUAAACCAUGUAACUAGAAAUGUUUGUCUACAGUGAGCCAUUAUAUAUGGCCGAUGUUCUGUAAUAUUAGAUCUUGUUCCGCAGUCUCUCAUGGAUUUUCAUGUAAGUGAGAACUGCUAGUUGUUAGUUUGUUUGCAAUAACAUCCAACAAGACACCUGCUCCAUUUUUAUGCUUGUAUUUGCUCUGAUUUAGGGCUGAUGGCAAAUCACAAAGAAAUUAUUCUGCCUGUUUGGAUUUGUUUAGAAAUAUUGUAAUUCCUUCUUGUUAUACAGCUGGCACCUGCCUUCUCCCCACUCCACAGCCCCCGCCCCCUUUUUUUUUUUUUUGAGGAGUAAGGAUUUUGCUGAGAGUAGAUUUAAAGUAAAUAUGUUUUGCUGUUAGGUUCACAAAUACCAUUCACUCACUCAAAUUUAUCAGUCUCUUUUCAUUAUUUAAUAAACAUUAUUUCUGUUAUAUUUUACAUUUUAAUUAAUGUAAAUUCAGUUUGUUGUAAUCUCCAAGAAUGUGAAUUUAAUACAAAAAACAUAGGAACCACCAUUUGCAUGGUGUUUACAUGACCCCAAAUGUACAAUGCAUCCUUGUACAAACAAUUUAUUCAUAAUGUAAAAGCAUUAACUUCCACCAGCAUUUAUUAAAUAUGGGUAAUCUCUAGCUGUAAACAUCUCUUUCCCAAGGCAGGGGUUUUCCUGUGCUGUUGGUUAUGGAUGAAGUAUGGAGUGUCAUCUCUGCGUUUUUUGUAUUGUGUUUUUUCUAAUUCUUUUAAAAUGUUACCACUAAGCUUUUUAAUGUUAGUUUUGGAACAGUCUUAUUAAUUCAGGAGAUCACCUGUUUGAACCUGCCUCAUGUUUUGUUAAUCUGUAAUGAAUCUUAACAUGGAUGACUGGUCCAAUUAGUGAACCAUGUUUUCAUGAAGCAUAAAUACUCUGACAAGUGACAGCUUUUUGUACUCAAGGGAAGCUGAAGUUUUUAACAGAAAAGUCCAAUGCAUUUCUGAAGAUGAACUGUAUUUUGGCUCUUGCUAGUUUUCUUCUUCUGAUUUUCCUGGAAGUAGCCCAGUCUUGUCCUCCAAUCUGUAAAUACUGCUCCACGGGGCUAGCAGAAUGUGAACAUGUCUCGUCACUUCAGGAAGUCUUACCAGGUUUGCCAAACUCCACAGAGAAAAUACUAUUACGGCACGGAAACCUUAGCAAGAUACCACCACUGUCUUUUCAGAAUUUCCCCAGGCUUCAUUUGCUCUCCAUAACUGGAUUUCUGUUCUCUUCACUUGCAAACCUGACCUUUGUUGCAAAAGACAUCAGCAGCCUGAGGAGUUUGGAUCUCAGCAGUAACUGCCUGCUGAGCUGUGGGAUUGAGCCUUUGGCUUUCUCUGGUCUUGGAAUCCUCGAGGAGUUGAUUCUUACAAACAAUGCCUUGGAUACGCUGAAAAGUUCUUGGUUCUUGGAGAUGACCCUGCUCACCAAACUCCUCCUUUCUGACAACAAAAUUACAUAUCUUCCUCCAAGAACUUUUGAGAGU